AUGGAUUCCUAAGACCUCCUUAGGAAAGCUGUCAUGAAGGAUCAGAGACGACGUACAAAUUGGUAACUGGCAAGCAUUAGCCUUCCACUCCUGUCCUCCAUGGACAGCUGUCUUUCACUCUCUGUCAGCCUUUAGCACAAGCAGGGAGACUCUUGGUGUGUUUAACUUCCCACCACUAGUCUCAUUUUAAUCAUUUAAUUAUUUACUCAUCUUUGUGGUGCUCUGAUGAAGUCUUUCUGUUGUGGAACUAGAUUGAGAGUCUCCCAGAGCCCAGGAAUGGAAGGAUUCUUACACAAACCCCAUCCCACCCAGCGUUGCCAGAGUACACAUGCUGGCGUGCCCUGGAAAGCGCAAGGCGAGUGGGAGCAUCUGGAGCAUGAGCUUAGAACGAGACCCCUUGGGUUGUUAGAAAAUGGCAAACAAGCCGCAAACAAGCUGGACUUGGAGGAAAUCGCCAGCUUCGAUAAGGCCAAGCUGAAGAAAACUGAGACGCAGGAGAACACCCUGCUGACCAAAGAGACCAUUGAACAGAAAAAGAGGAGUGAAAUUUCCUAAAAGGCUAGACUGGAGGAUUUUUCCACCCCACCCCAUCCUGUCACCUCUGAGACACUCUCUUGAUGUGGAGGAAGAACCACUUGCAAGAUGGACAUGAGUCACAAGCCCUCGGGUCUCUGAAGGGGGAUUCCCCCCCCCCAAUAAUUGGACUGCCAAAUUCCACUGGUUUGCCCUGGGAUAUUAUAGAAAAUUAUUUGUAUGAUUGAUGAAAAUAAAACAUACCUCGUGGCAGAAAAAAAAAAAACA
rnacentral:lncRNA from 1 species